rnacentral:sRNA from 1 species
CAGAUCCCUAAAGAAGUGGCUGACAUCUUUAACGCCCCCAGUGAUGAUGAAGAGUUUGUUGGCUUCCGAGAUGAUGUUCCCAUGGAAACCCUCUCGUCAGAGGAGAGCUGCGAUAGUUUUGACUCACUAGAGUCAGGGAAACAGGUCGUGGAGUCAGAUUUGAGUGAUGAUGGCAAAGCAUCUUUGGUGAGUGAGGAAGAGGAAGAUGAAGAAGAAGAUAAGGCUACCCCUAGAAGAAGCAGGACUAGAAGAAGUAGUAUUGGUCUUCGAGUAGCCUUUCAGUUCCCCACCAAGAAGCUGGCCAACAAACCAGAUAAAAACAGUUCUUCCGAGCAGUUGUUUUCUAGCUCACGCUUACAGAAUGAGAAAAAAACAAUUCUUGGAAGAAAGAAAGGCUGUAGACAGGUGAUACAAAGGGAAGAUUCUACCUCUGAGUCUGAGGACGACUCUCGGGAUGAGAGCCAGGAGAGUUCAGAUGCUUUGCUGAAAAGGACCAUGAACAUCAAGGAGAACAAAGCCAUGCUUGCCCAGUUAUUGGCGGAAUUGAACUCGAUGCCAGAUUUCUUCCCAGUACGAACCCCAACCUCAGCUUCUAGGAAGAAAACAGUGAGGCGGGCCUUCUCGGAGGGACAGAUCACGCGGCGCAUGAACCCAACCCGGAGUGCGCGGCCUCCUGAGAAGUUUGCUCUAGAGAACUUCACUGUCUCAGCCGCUAAAUUUGCAGAAGAGUUUUACAGCUUCCGAAGAAGGAAGACAAUUAGUGGGGGGAAAUGCCGGGAGUACAGACGACGUCACCGUAUAUCUUCUUUUCGGCCAGUGGAGGAUAUCACCGAAGAGGACUUAGAAAAUGUUGCCAUAACUGUUCGAGAUAAAAUCUAUGAUAAAGUUCUGGGUAACACGUGCCAUCAGUGUCGACAAAAGACCAUCGACACCAAGACAGUGUGUCGGAACCAGGGUUGCUGUGGUGUGCGAGGACAGUUCUGUGGACCAUGCCUGCGGAA